rnacentral:rRNA from 1 species
ACGAACGCUGGCGGCGUGCUUAACACCUGCAAGUCGCACGGAAAGGCCCUGCUUGCAGGGUGCUCGAGUGGCGAACGGGUGAGUAACACGUGGGUGAUCUGCCCCUUACUUUGGGAUAAGCCUGGGAAACUGGGUCUAAUACUGGAUAGGACCAUGCUGUAGGUGGUGUGGUGGAAAGAUUAGUUUCGGUAAGGGAUGAGCUCGCGGCCUAUCAGCUUGUUGGUGGGGUAAUGGCCUACCAAGGCGUCGACGGGUAGCCGGCCUGAGAGGGUGGACGGCCACAUUGGGACUGAGAUACGGCCCAGACUCCUACGGGAGGCAGCAGUGGGGAAUAUUGCACAAUGGGCGCAAGCCUGAUGCAGCGACGCCGCGUGGGGGAUGACGGCCUUCGGGUUGUAAACUCCUUUCAGCCAUGACGAAGCCCUUGUGGUGACGGUAGUGGUAGAAGAAGCACCGGCUAACUACGUG